UGAGGAAUAUUGGUCAAUGGGCGCGAGCCUGAACCAGCCAAGUAGCGUGCAGGAUGACGGCCCUAUGGGUUGUAAACUGCUUUUGUAUGGGGAUAAAGUCAAUCACGUGUGAUUGUUUGCAGGUACCAUACGAAUAAGGACCGGCUAAUUCCGUGCCAGCAGCCGCGGUAAUACGGAAGGUCCAGGCGUUAUCCGGAUUUAUUGGGUUUAAAGGGAGCGUAGGCUGGAGAUUAAGUGUGUUGUGAAAUGUAGACGCUCAACGUCUGAAUUGCAGCGCAUACUGGUUUCCUUGAGUACGCACAACGUUGGCGGAAUUCGUCGUGUAGCGGUGAAAUGCUUAGAUAUGACGAAGAACUCCGAUUGCGAAGGCAGCUGACGGGAGCGCAACUGACGCUUAAGCUCGAAGGUGCGGGUAUCAAACAGGAUUAGAUACCCUGGUAGUCCGCACAGUAAACGAUGGAUGCCCGCUGUUGGUACCUGGUAUCAGCGGCUAAGCGAAAGCAUUAAGCAUCCCACCUGGGGAGUACGCCGGCAACGGUG
rnacentral:rRNA from 1 species